CUUCACAGGUUAUCCCGUGGCCUGAGUGAGGAAGGCAAUGUCCUUGCUAGUCACUAUUUGUGGCGACAUCUCCAAAUUGCGUGAAACCCGUCAUACAGCUUCAAGUACCACUUCAAUUGAGAAAUCUUUUGAAGGAACAGAGGUAACUCCUCUUCCCAAAGGUAAAAGCUUGAAGACAUGGUGGCAAUGCGCAGCCAAGCUCCUAAGUAUUUUAAAUAUAAGGAGAAGGUUCAGAGAGCAGACGGAGAUGGGCGGUAAUUAUCGCCGCUUAAGGUGUGCUCCAGCCUCUUUCGAAAGAUUGAG
rnacentral:ncRNA from 1 species